UGGGGAAUAUUGCACAAUGGGCGAAAGCCUGAUGCAGCAACGCCGCGUGAGUGAUGAAGGUCUUCGGAUUGUAAAGCUCUGUCUUUUGGGACGAUAAUGACGGUACCAAAGGAGGAAGCCACGGCUAACUACGUGCCAGCAGCCGCGGUAAUACGUAGGUGGCGAGCGUUGUCCGGAUUUACUGGGCGUAAAGGGUGCGUAGGCGGAUGUUUAAGUGAGAUGUGAAAUACCCGGGCUUAACUUGGGUGCUGCAUUUCAAACUGGAUAUCUAGAGUGCAGGAGAGGAGAAUGGAAUUCCUAGUGUAGCGGUGAAAUGCGUAGAGAUUAGGAAGACACCAGUGGCGAAGGCGAUUCUCUGGACUGUAACUGACGCUGAGGCACGAAAGCGUGGGUAGCAAACAGGAUUAGAUACCCUGGUAGUCCACGCCGUAAACGAUGAGUACUAGGUGUAGGAGGUAUCGACCCCUUCUGUGCCGCAGUAAACA
rnacentral:rRNA from 1 species